UACGGAGGGUGCAAGCGUUAUCCGGAUUCACUGGGGUUAAAGGGUGCGUAGGCGGACAGGUAAGUCAGUGGUGAAAUCUCUGGGCUUAACCCAGAAACUGCCGUUGAUACUAUUUGUCUUGAAUAUCCUGGAGGUAGGCGGAAUAUGUCAUGUAGCGGUGAAAUGCUUAGAUAUGACAUAGAACACCGAUAGCGAAGGCAGCUUACUACAGGAUGAUUGACGCUGAGGCACGAAAGCGUGGGGAUCAAACAGG
rnacentral:rRNA from 1 species